AAUUUGCGAUGAGGAGGAUAAUAAGGAUCAGGAUGAGUUCGUUCGCCGAUGGAGGACGCCAAUGGGUAUGCAUGACGCAGGCCCACGUCCGGAUACAUAUCACGAGCAGAAUCAAGAUUGGAAAGCUGAGAUGUUGGAGUUGAUGCGAAGUAUGUCCGCACGGAUGGAUACUACUGAGGGGACAGUGCGGCGACUAGAUGGUAGGGUUGAAGACCUAUUCACUCUUCUACGUGCCUCGGACAUUCCAGCUUCUUGAUAUCACACCGAUUAUGGUGAUGAUCAGCAUGGACAUAGUGAUGAUUAGUUCCACCAUGCUUUCGGUGAUGAGGACGACCAGACCUCUCCAUCUAUCGCGGAUGUAGGUGGGGUGGGGGGACAAACUGUGCAAGCUAAGUAUCCAUCUAGGUAUCGUCGUACACCCUUCACUGAUCCCAUUAAACCGAAGAAGAUGAAGAUGAGUUCCCCGGCGGAGGAUAUUGACGUUGAGACAGUGCCCCCACUUGCCGGAUGGGAGAUUGUGCAGGCAUUGCCAGCUGAGGGAACAGCAGAGGAUGGUCCCCCAUUAGACAGUGUAACGGUCGAGGAAGCAGUGCAGCAUCACCCUGCUCAAAUGGGGGACAAUGAUCCCAACAGCCCCAAGGGUUACGUUGAGUAUAUCAGCUCAGAAGAUGGAAUUGCGCGUGUGACCGAGCACUUGGAGCACCUAUUGCCAAUUCACCUUGGUCAGG